UUUUUUAGAGAGACAAACUCCUAAUUCUCUCUAAGUUUUCUUCUCCUUUUUUCAUCAAAAAGGGACCCCUUUCCAUCUUUUUCUGUUUGUUUUAAUCUAAAUAAGUAGUUUUCACAUAGAUUAAAAUUUUCUUGUGUGUUUUUUUNNNNNNNNNNNNNGUUGCGGUGUUCGUUUGAUUGAAUUGGCAGAUCCAGAGGCAUAGAUAUUCCGGUUACUUUAAUUUUAUCACAUUAUUUGUAGGCAUGAGUAUGCCGUUUAUGCUAUUAACUUGGAUGCUGUGAGUUUGUUCGCAGAUUCAUCAUUUUUGUUUUUAGCGGUAUUAAAUUUGUACUUGAAUUACUCUACCAAUAUGAAUGAAUAUCUUUUAUUUUAGU
rnacentral:lncRNA from 1 species